CAUUCAAACCUCAUCACAGAGCUUGUGUCUAUCUUCACCAAUCUCACACUCACAUGGUGUGAGAUUGCUCUGGAUUCUGGUUAUUGGCCUGCAGCACCUAUGAGAACAAGCUCAUCCUGCAUGCCUGCAUUCCAGCUUCUUAGAUUCUACACAAGUGGACAGAGUGUCAGUGUUUGACCGCUCUUUUAGACACCAACUUCUGGCACCUCACUCCAGGAAGACAGGGCUGCAAGUCUGUCAUCGUUUCCAGUGUGACUUUGCAUUCUUGGGGUAGCAUCAGAUUUUUCCCACAAAUAUUCAAAGAUUUAGAUGCAGUGAUCAGAUGUGCUGGAGUUUUGUUAACCGUGUGGAAAACAUCUGUUUGUGAUGGUAUUCAAAAUGAGGCUUUAAGGUGACAGUUUCCUUGUGAUUUCAGUCCUUUUACUAAACAAAAACAUUUUUAAUUAACAUAUUAUUUUUUUAGCAGCACAUCAUUGUUCAAAGGUAAAUAGAGCCACAUGUCACACCAACAAUGAAUUUUUGACUCUGUUUGUGUCACCAGAUUUAACAAACAAUAUCGGACAUAUAAAACUGAACUUUGGAUUAAUGUGCACAUAUAUUGUUUUGUAUUUUUGAUUGUUGAACAAUUAUGUUGUAGAAAAAAAUCCAAUCUAUUUACCCAAACAAUGUAACUUGUUUGGGUAAAUAGUGGAUUAGUGUAAUUUUAGUCUAUAAGUAUAGCAGCCUGAAUUCAUACAAACACACAGCUCUAAAUCUUGAAUUGUAGAAUGCACAAUAAUGAUCAUUUGAUUAUUAUGGACAUUUAAAUCAGAAUCUAUUGAACCAGACACACAUUCUUUAUAGAGAUUACACAAUCUCAAAAAAAAAGAAAGUGUUUAAGAGGAUAAGUAAAGAAAGUGUGUUUGUAUGAAUAUUGUCUCAGUAUGGGGUGUCAGUAAGUACAUGAGUAUAGAAUAGGUGUAACAGUGGUUUUCCACAUCUGUGCUUAGACUGCUCUAAUAUAUAUAGAUAAUGGGUCAGACAUAUAGUUUGACCUAUUAAGUCUGUUUGAAAAGUUCAUGAAGGUGUCAUGAAGGUGUCCAGUGCUAUGUGUUUCUGUUUAUCAUUUUAUGAGGUCACACAGCUGACAUGAGUCAGAGUAGAACCAUAAUAUUCAUGUUAAUGAGUCUACUGUUUACAGCUACUUCAUGAUGACUUUCAUCCUGGUCACAGUACUAUGUGAAAAGCUGUAAGAGGUAAAGUUAACCCAAAUAAUAUCUGAUCAUAAGUCACUCUCUAACAUUGAUUAUUUUUCAAUAUAAUUUAUUCCACAACAAUGUUCUUUAUUUUAUCCCUGUUUCUUCAAAUAUGCACAUCAAUUGUUCAGCUGUGUGACUCUCCAUACCUGAAAUAUAUCACAAUGUGAACUUCAUUUCAACAGUAUUCCUUAGUUUGGUACCAUAUUUAUCAUCAAAUCAGGAAACGGUAAACUAAUUGAAAAAAGAAGCUUUUGAACAUUUUAAUGUGUAAAAAUAUAUAUAUGUAUAUGUAUAAUUUUUUAAAUU